AAGAGAGACAUGCACAGUUUGCGGAAACCGCUAACUUUCGACAACCUUGGUUGAACUCCAGGGCUCACUUG
rnacentral:tRNA from 1 species